rnacentral:lncRNA from 1 species
GACCGACACAAGUAAAAAUGAAUGCAUUGCCUUCUCUCUCUCCUCUUUGUAGAGAUGAGAUCCUCCUUCACGACCUCUCUCUUCUGCAACAAAGGCCUCCAUCUCCAUCCUCUCCCUUCCUCCUUCUUCUUCGCCUUUCCGCCUCCUUGUCGUCUUUUCGGCUCUGGCUCCAAAAACCACCGACUGGCCUCUCGAACUCUCCUUCGUCUUCUACUCUUAGUUCGAUCCUGAUUUCCGGCUCGAUACAUCGCCAACGAUUUUGAAGCAGAACUAGGCUGCGAGGAGGAGGCUGGAUAUUUCGAUAGUGGCACUAAGUUUUGGGGUCUUUCAACGACAGCCGCGACAGAUAUUGAGGCGGAGGGUUAAAGAGGACUAUGGACAACAUAUGCGGGCCUGAAGAUAUAUGAUGUGCUUGAACUUCUUAUUUGUCUGCUUCAUCAUCCACUGGGUUUGUAUUUGCAAGCGAUGAUGCAAUAUAGUUCCAUCCUUCUUUCUUAUUUUUUAGUCGGAGCCGUUCUUUUAAUAUUUUUUUUUCUCGUUUUAUGUUUGCUUUUCAUUUUCUCAACAUGAGGAUUCUGGAGGAAAAAUCUACCUUCCUUGCUCAAUGUUAAGAAGUAUUUCUAAGCAGGUGGAAUCACGGAGCUUGAUUUUGGGAUUUAUACACAAAAAUGCUGAAAAG